UACGAAGGGUGCUAGCGUUGUUCGGAAUUACUGGGCGUAAAGCGCGCGCAGGCGGUCUUCCAAGUCAGUGGUGAAAGCCUGGAGCUCAACUCCAGAACUGCCAUUGAAACUGUUGGACUUGAGUACGAGAGAGGUGAGUGGAAUUCCCAGUGUAGAGGUGAAAUUCGUAGAUAUUGGGAAGAACACCAGUGGCGAAGGCGGCUCACUGGCUCGUAACUGACGCUCAGGCGCGACAGCGUGGGGAUCAAACAGG
rnacentral:rRNA from 1 species